GAGUUUGAUCGUGGCUCAGAUUGAACGCUGGCGGCAUGCCUUACACAUGCAAGUCGAACGGCAGCACGGGAGCUUGCUCCUGGUGGCGAGUGGCGAACGGGUGAGUAAUGCAUCGGAACGUAUCCUAGAGUGGGGGAUAACGUAGCGAAAGUUACGCUAAUACCGCAUAUUCUGUGAGCAGGAAAGCGGGGGACCUUCGGGCCUCGCGCUCUUGGAGCGGCCGAUGUCGGAUUAGCUAGUUGGUGAGGUAAAGGCUCACCAAGGCGACGAUCCGUAGCAGGUCUGAGAGGAUGAUCUGCCACACUGGAACUGAGACACGGUCCAGACUCCUACGGGAGGCAGCAGUGGGAAUUUUGGACAAUGGGGGCAGCCCUGAUCCAGCCAUGCCGCGUGAGUGAAGAAGGCCUCGGUUGUAAGUAC
rnacentral:rRNA from 1 species